rnacentral:rRNA from 1 species
AAUAUUUGACAAUGGGGGGAACCCUGAUCCAGCCAUGCCGCGUGUGUGAAGAAGGUCUUCGGCUUGUACAGCCCUUUAAGAUGGGAGGAAGAGUUGUAGGCUAAUACCUUGCAAUUUUGACGUUAAUAACAGUAUAAGCACCGGCUAACUUCGUGCCAGCAGCCGUGGUAAUACGCAGUGUUCAAGUGUUAAUCGGAAUUACUGGGCGUAAAGCGCGCGUAGGUGGUUCGUUAAGUUGGAAGUGAAAGCCCCGGGCUUAACCUGGGAAUUGCUUUCAAAACUGACGAGCUAGAGUACGGGAGAGGGUAGUGGAAUUUCCUGUGUAGCGGUGAAAUGCGUAGAUAUAGGAAGGAACAUCAGUGGCGAAGGCGACUACCUGGACUGAUACUGACACUGAGGUGCGAAAGCGUGGGGAGCAAACAGG